rnacentral:sRNA from 1 species
AUGUAGAGCUGUGGGCAUAUGAAGUGUAUAUGCGUAUCUAUAUGACCUGGUGUACAUACUGUAUGCUCUCCUGCAGUAGCCUCUGUACAUGCAGAGACAACCAUGUUAGGAUCUACAUCAUCCAUUAUGUAUGGAUUACCAGCCUUCCCUAUCCCUGCUAUCUUCCCAUCCUUCAUGCCUAUAUCUGCCUUGACUAUGCCUAGAAUGGGAUCGAGUAUCAAUGCAUUGGUUAUCACAUGAUCUAGUGCACCGUGAGCGUUUGUAACCCCUGGUGUCUGUGCCAAACCAUCUCUCAA